AACCACUGCUCUGAGCCAGCUUACACCUGGAACACAGACAGGUAGGGAGGAGAGACAGACAGGUAAACACAUGGAGGGAGGGAGGAGAGACCGACAGGUAACCACACGUAGGGAGGGAAGAGAGACAGACAGGUAACAACAGGGAGUGAGGGAGGAGAGACAGACAGG